rnacentral:lncRNA from 10 species
AGGCGAUGAUGGAACAACACUGUGAAGAGGUGGGUGUGCAUGUGUGCGUGUGUGUACACAUGCAUGUGUCAGACAGGCAUCCAUCCUAUCCAGGAGAUAGGAAACCAAGAAUGCAAAGACAACUCAGCAGAUCUGCUGGCAUGGAGGCGAGGCUGCAUGGAAGGAUCUGGAUUGGAUAGGAGUGUCCCAUUCAGGACAUGUGUCACUCAAAACCACACAACUCAGACUUGGGGAAUAUUCUAUGCCAGUCACAUCUGUUUACAACACGUGUGGCAUCUCCUGUGGACGGAGUUGACAGUCUCAUCCUGAGAUAGGCAGAGCCUGGCGUGGAAGUGAGAGCCUUCAUCUGGGAUGAGACAGCAGGAGGCAGGGAGGGGACACACUGGGGGACAUCACGUGGGGCCAGGCAGUGUCCACCCAGCUCUGGCACAGCCUGAGAGUCAUCACUUCCUCAGUUUUCACACCCUGGGCACCUCCACCUCGCCUGCCUCCCCCGACCCCGGCCCCAUGGCCAGACCUUUCUUCCACAUAAUUCCCAGGAGUGCUAUAUGCAUGAACCAAGCUAAGGUGUCAAUCUCGUUUCAGAACCACAGCACGGCUCCCCAUAAAAGUCAUCUUUAUGGACAGAUAUUUCAUGGCGGCAGCUUGAGAAGGCUCACGUUUCUUAGGCAGCUGGUGCAGAGCCAGGAGAGCUAAUCAUGAGAUCUUCCAGUCCCAGGACGUGGGCUGCAGCUGGCGGCUGUGGUCGUCUUAUAUCAAACUCUCAAGAGUCACAGGGCAGCAGCAUUGGCCCCCUCCCAAGUCAUUCCAGAUGGGAUUUAAGGUGGCUUAAUGAGCAUUCAUAAAAUACAGCAAGAGAACAUAAACUGAAAAGGGUGUGCAAGAAGAAAUCAAAUGGGAACUACAUGAAAUGAGCCAGAGACAGGAGGGAGGGGGAAGAAGAGGGAGGGGGAAGAACAGGCGGGAGGGGGAUGAACAGGGAGGGGCCCCCUAAGCCACUGGAAAGUGUGGCAAGACUUCCCGGAGCCGGACAGAGCAGAUUCUUGAGGGGUGCGCAGGAGUCUCGUAGGCCAGGAUGGAGAGGAAGGGCCUGUAGGCAGAAGACUGGUGUGUGCAAAGGAACCAGAGAGAGAAGGAGGCGGGGAGGGGAGAGGGGGUGCCGGGAGGAGGGAGAGGAAGCUCAGUAGUUGUGGGGGAUAGCGAGGGGGAUUGGGGAAUGAACUGUUUCCCGCAAAUGCCUCAGCCAUAGUUGAAAGGAUUCCCACUCCCUUCCCCACUCACAAAGUCCUGGUGCCCUUGGCCCGGCUGCGCAGGCCCUCAUUCCCUGAGCUCCCAAGAGGUGCAGUGAUUUAUCCGAUGCGAAGCGCGAAGCUCGGGAGUCCGACUGCACCCGGAGGUGGUGGGGGCGGGGGGACGGAGGGGCGGAGGGGCAAGAGUACUACAAGAAAAGGCCGGGGCCUGCUCUCUGCUCUCUCCUCUCUCUGGACCUGCCUGAGCCCCAGGGGCACGGUCUGCACCAUCUGCCUGUGAACAGGAGCGCUUAAUUCAGAGUGGCCGGCAGAGACCCUGGGUCCGAUGAUCCAGAAGUCUGACAUCGAGCUUCUGCUCAUUAGCCGCAACCCUCCCCUGGGUCCUGGAAUCUGUUCUCAGGUGACCGUGGAGGAGGCGAUGCUGAGUGAUCAACACCUCGGAUCUCCAGCUGUCGGUGCAAUGACCAAGAAGGCCUUGGUGAAUGUUAAAGAAACAAUUAUUCCAUGACAUUGGUAAAGCAUGGCCGAGCCAACUUUAUCCAGGACCGUGGAGAUUGAUACAGGGACCCCCACAAUAAGAUCUUGCGGUAGGGGAGAGAGAUUAGGCUCCACUCUGAAUAUAGCACAGGCAAGUAGGAAUUUAUGGCCAAGGAGUGUGGGGGUCAGUGGAUGGAAAAUUACCAAGGGGUAGGGGAGAUUCUGCUUAACCCGACCUAACAGGAUUCUUGCUGACACAGGCCAGGGUUCUUUCGCUAAAACUGGAUUUUUUUUUUUUUUUUUUUGAGACGGAAUCUCACUCUGUGGCCCAGGCUGAAGUGCAGGGGCAUGAUCUCAGCUCACUGCAACCUCCAUCUCCCGGGUUCAAGUGAUUCUCCUGCCUCAGCCUCCCAAGUAGCUGGGAUUACAGGCAUGCACCACCACGCCCAGCCAACUUUUGUAUUUUUUUGGUGG